CGUCGGUCCUGGAGAGCUGCAGCCCUGCAGAGUUUUGCUUCAACCCUUAUCAAACACACCUGAAAAAGCUAAUCAAUUACUAGAAAGCUACAGGCAGGUGAGUUUUAAUGAGGGUUGGUGCUGAACUCUGCAGGGCUCUCCAGGACCAGAGUUCCCCACCCCUGGUAUAUAAUAUAGAUUUAUGUUAUAUAAAUGUCUAAUACUUAUACUUCCAUUGAAGAUGAGACAGAAGCAGGCUCAGAGAGUGAGGGAGAGCUCACUGAGCAUCAGCCAAAUCAGACAAGUACAGUUAAAACCCAACUGUUGUUGGGUCAAAUAUGGUUCCCGCUUCACUCCGGUUCAAAUUUUAACGGUCCAGUCAGCGACUCCGCGGACAUCAGCGGUAGCCUGCUUGAUUAUGAAAGGUAUGUAACUGUUAAUAUAAUUUUAUGAUGUAUAUAACUGUUAUAACAUUAAGUAAUGUGUACUGAAACGUUAAUUAAAUCGUAAAACUAUUUAAAAAACGAAGUUUUAAUUCCUUUAAGUCAGUUUUUUU
ensembl:lncRNA